rnacentral:rRNA from 1 species
GAUGAACGCUGGCGGCGUGCCUAACACAUGCAAGUCGAGCGGCAGCACGGUCUUCGGACUGGUGGCGAGCGGCGGACGGCUGAGUAACGCGUAGGAAUAUACCCCAAAGUGAGGGAUAACUGCCCGAAAGGGUGGCUAAUACCGCAUGUGGUCUUCGGACUAAAGCCUUCGGGCGCUUUGGGAAUAGCCUGCGUAAGAUUAGCUAGUUGGUGAGGUAAUGGCUCACCAAGGCGACGAUCUUUAGCUGGUCUGAGAGGAUGACCAGCCAGACUGGAACUGAGACACGGUCCAGACUCCUACGGGAGGCAGCAGUAGGGAAUUUUCCACAAUGGGCGAAAGCCUGAUGGAGCAACGCCGCGUGCAGGAUGAAGGCCCUCGGGUCGUAAACUGCUUUUAUGUGCGAAGAAUAUGACGGUAACACAUGAAUAAGGGUCGGCUAACUACGUGCCAGCAGCCGCGGUAAU